CACGGAACAACAUUUCUCAAAUCAUAGAUAAGGGACUGGUCAUAAAGUAACUGCUAGGGUAGGCCGGAGCUAGGAAAAAUACGUUUUCCAAAAAAAAAAACGGUGGCUCAUCCUGAAAACCUAGAAAAAAAUUCAAAGCGUAGGUCAUUGGAAAAAUUUCACGACCCAUCCUGCUAUACAUGAAUAUGUAUGUACAGUAUAGCAGUCACUUUGAUCAAACCAUGUACUGAGUCACUUUCUCAUAACUUGUGUAGUAGUUAUAGUAUCCAUUGAAU
rnacentral:lncRNA from 1 species